GAGAUUGCCCAGAUGAGAGGUUCAUAAGCAAUUUUUAAGAAGUUCAUCCAUGCCUGGCAGUGGUGACGCAUGCCUUUAAUCCUGGCACUUGGGAGGCAGAGGGAGCUUUGAGCUCGGGUCCCCGGGGACUCAAGCCCUAUGAACUUAAGGCCUUAAUGGCUCCUCACACACCGAAGGGUAGACUGGGAGCCCCUAGUCUGAAAGAAUUACAUCUGUCUCUUCCUAGGAUGGGAAACAAGCGGAGGAAGCCCCGAAGGUGGAGCGCAGAGUGGGCCCCCCGGCUAUGGGUCACUCACCGCAGGCCUGGGAGGGCCGGCUCACUAGCCCUAGCUCAAGGCCCCGGGCUCUGUGAAGCCUCCGCCCUACAGUCAUCACACCCUGAAGCCAUUGGAGCCGGACUUCAACUUGGGAUCCGCCUACUCCGAGGCUUCGCCCUACGACCCGCCACGCUGCAAGGAUACUGAUGUAACUUUGAAGGCUGUUGCUCCUUAGAGAAAGCAAGCAAGAGACGUCGAAUGUCAAACAAGCUAAGAAUGAGGGAUGAGACCAGGGGUGGGGAGCCCAGGAUAACAAGAUGCCUAAAACUUCAGGGUCUAGGUUUGCUUUUCCAGAGCACUCGUAGCUUCAGGCUUUUCUUUUCCAGGGACCCAGAUGCUAAGCUCUCCUCUGCUCUUAAAUAAUAACAAAACCAAA